ensembl:lncRNA
GCCGCCCACCAAAACUCACAGACCAGGCAGAAGGAGGGCAUUAAUCAGAGAGGCAACAAAGAGACCAAAGAUAACCCUGAAGGAGCUGCAAAGCUCCACAUCGGAGAUUGAAGUAUCUGUCCAUAGGACCACUUUAAGCCGUACACUCCACAGAGCUGGGCUUUAUGGAAGAGUGGCCAGAAAAAGCCAUUGCUUAAAGAAACAAACAAGCAAACACGUUGGUGUUCACCAAAAGGCACGUGGGAGACUCCCCAAACAUAUGGAAGAAUGUACUGUGGGAGACUCCCCAAACAUAUGGAAGAAGGUACUGUGGGAGACUCCCCAAACAUAUGGAAGAAGGUACUGUGGGAGACUCCCCAAACAUUUGGAAGAAGGUAAUUGGUUGCACCAGAUCUUAUUUUGGGGUGAAUACAUAUGAACGCAUCACUUUUCCGUUUAGUUUUUAGUUAUUUUUAUUUUCUUAAAGAAAUAAAACAAAAUCACUUCAUCAAUUUGGACUAUUUUGUGUAUUACAUGAAAUCCAAAUAAAAAUCUAUUUAAAUUACAGGUUGUAAUGCAACAAUAUAGGAAAAACGCCAAGAAAGACGAGUACUUUUGCAAGGC